rnacentral:rRNA from 1 species
UGGGGAAUAUUGCGCAAUGGGGGAAACCCUGACGCAGCGACACCGCGUGAGUGAAGACGUCUCUAGGGAUGUAAAGCUCUGUCAAGAGGGACGAUUAUGACGGUACCUCUAAAGGAAGCUCCGGCUAACUACGUGCCAGCAGCCGCGGUAAUACGUAGGGAGCGAGCGUUAUUCGGAAUUAUUGGGCGUAAAGCGCAGGUAGGCGGUAAAUUAAGUCAAGUGUUAAAUCUUUCAACUCAACUGAAAGCUGCAUUUGAUACUGAUUUACUAGAGAUCAGUAGAGGAAAGCGGAACUCACGGUGUAGCGGUGAAAUGCGUAGAUAUCGUGAGGAACACCAGUUGCGAAGGCGGCUUUCUGGCCUGAUUCUGACGCUGAGAUGCGAAAGCGUGGGGAGCGAACGGG